CCGAGAUUACGUCAUCUAUUAAACUGGGUUAUGUUUGGGCCACUUCAAGCCCAUCAUGAUCCAGUGUAGCGUAUUUUGUUUUAUGCAUUAAUGCACUUUUGUAUGGUUAAAGUUUAACCCAAAAAACACUACGGAUUAUUCAAGAAAAGUAAAAAGGAACCGAAUUGACUAAAAUUCUAAUAUUUUUUUAAAGAUACAAAAAAAAAAAACUUAAAAUAAUUUAUUCUGGGAAUUGAUCUGAAUUAUCGGAUUAAAUCCUUCUCAAAACCAAACCGAACAAACAUACUUCGAAACAAAUAUUUUUUAACUGGGCAAGACUUUUCCUAAACGACCAAACCGGAUAGCCAUGCCUGGUCUUGUUUUUUUUUUUUUGCUAAAAUUUGGUGCAUAUAUUGUAUAUUGUAUAUUUAUGUUUAUUUUUGGCUUUUCAGAUUUGUAUAUUGUAAUGACGGGAUAGCUAAGAGAAAGUAAAUUUUUAAUUUAUUUAAUCUUUCUUGAUUGUUUUUUUGUUAAUUAUUAACAAUACAAACGUUUCAUCGAAUCAUACACAAACAUUUCAUCGAUAAAUAUUAUAACUUAGCAGGUCAAUUUAUACUCCUUAUUGACCCACCUAAAUGAGACCUUAUAUGGCCCAUACUAUUGGUGUUCACUAGAGAGACAGAUGUCACAUCAGAUCUGAACAAAAGAAUCUGGUUAGUUCCUUAAUUAGCAAAUAAUAAAAGGAAUUAUACUGUAAUUAUAAAUUACUAGAGGUUUGCCCGUCCUACGGGCGGGUGAAUUUACACUAAAACUAUUUUAUAUUAAAAUAUAUUUUAAUUUUAUAAAACAUUUGAAAAUUUACUUCAUAUUAAAAAUAAUAUAUAAUCUGUUUUUAUUUUAAGAUCAAAGUGUAAAUGUUAUUAAAUUUGUUAAUUUGAGUUAAGAAGACUACUAACAUAAGUUACAAAAAGAGAUGGUCAAUAACAGUGUUUUUUGUUAGAACUCGAAAUUAUUAAAUUAAAAGUUAUGGAAAAUGUAAUAAUUUAUAUUUUUCCUAUUUGAUUUUUAUUUCAAUUUGACAUUGAUGAAAAUCUAAAGUAAGAAUAACUAAUAUAUUUUUUUAUACUGUUGUUAAUUAUUUUUCCUACUGAUUUGGUUUUCAUGUGUUUUCCUUUUUGUAAAGUAGGUACAAUGAUUUAGUGUAUUUUAUUUUAUAAUAUUGUCAUGUUUGUUUGAUUGUUAUGUAUAUACAAUGUGUCUAUUUUAGGUUUGUAGUGUUUGAUUUACUUGAGUCUGAUGCUUUCAAGCCAAUUGGCCCGAGGAGGCUUCUUCACCAUGGCGUUGGGUGUAGGUACGUCUAAUAGCAAGCUCUUCUUCACCUUGUUAGGGUGCGUGAAAAUGAGUACAUUCUUAAGUGAGGCUGAGAGUUUCUUAAGAGUCAAGGGAAGAGUUAAGAGGCGAAGAGGCAAGAUAGCAACCGUUACGUAAUUAUAACCUGAAAACUUAAAGCCUUUUGCUAUUGUUUGUUACGUUACUGUAAUAAGAACAACUCGAGACACUCUAAACAUGGUGAAAAGAGUCAUAAUAGUUAGGCCCUCAUUAUUGGGUGUGAAAGUCAAAAAGUGUAUUCAUAUUUUUUAGUUACAGUUUAACAAAAUUAUGGCAAAUUUAAUUAUGGGUAUGAAUACUUGUUGGAAAAUACAACGUUUUAAACCCAACUCAGACAAAGGCUGCCUUCGUAAGAUACUGGCUUGGUUUGCUUGCGUCUUUAAUUCCAUGAGAAUGGUAACAUUAUUGAGAGCUUAUAUUUUUUUUUGGUAAAAUAUUGAGAGCUCUUAUUUGAUCACAUGAAAGAAAACAACACUCGCACUACCAAAAAAAAGUGUGUUUUGAAUCACUUAUUUUAAAUAUUUGUAUUAGUUAUAAUUGAUGUAAACAGAUUUUACAUCAUUUAAGAAAGUGACUAUGAAAGUGAUGAUGCAAAUAAUUCUCAUUAGUUUAAAUAGAAGUGAUGCAAAUAUUAUUUUUAUGUAUCAAGUGCUUUGUAUUUGAUGUUUUGUUAUUAAUAAAUUUGGGUUUUAUAUAUCACUGAGAUGCUUUGUUUCCAUCUUCUUUUUAUCUUUUUCUAUCCUAUUAUAGAAAAUGAGUCUAUUAAGCAUGUGAAAAUAUAAAUCGUUUACUAAUGACUAUCUCAUGAAGCUAACUUGCAUAUUUUACGAUUUUGAAAAUCUUUUACAUUUCUUGCUAGUAUGUUCUCAUUUCUUCAUUGCCACCUAAAUGUUCACAAUGUUUCCUAUCCAUUGAAUUUUGGUUGUAACUGAACCUAUUUGCAGCUAAAUCAUCCAUAGUUAGUGGGAAGUAUAUCUAGACUUACAUAAUCGUUUCGCUAAGGAAGCUUGCAUUUGCUUAAGUUUAUGCCAGGAUUUUUUUUUAAAGUUUUUAUGUUUUAGCCACAUUUAUAUUUUACUUGACAAUUCCUUUUGUUUAUUUAUGUUCUUUUUGGCUUUUCAGAUUUGUAUAUUGUAAUGGAGAUGUAUCCGUUCACAUCAGAGAAGGCGAUCAUUUGUUGUUCUAUUAGCAUAGUGAGUUUUUUCUAUUAACACGGGUAGCUGGUCGGGUCAUUUCCCUUGUAAGGUUUCUUUGGACUAACUGUUAACAUUGUGCAUGCAUUAUAAAUUUAGUAAAAAAGGUUAUAUAAAUGUCACUGAGCUACUCAAGUGACCUCCUAAAUCUUCUUUAGUGAAACAAAAGAGUAUAAGUGGAGCCAAAUAUAUAAAUAGAUGAAUACAAAUACAAAAAACGGUAAUUUCGAUCAGCUUUUUUUUUUUUUUUUUUUUUUUGAAACACAAACUUCAACUUGCUUGAUUACAAAUGAUAGAGGGAAUUGUCCGUCCUCUUUGAUUGAAAACAUCAACUACAACAACAUAAGAUAACAAAGAUAGAUCUUCAAAAGAAGAAGAUGACAGCGAACUCAAGAUGGUGCUUGAAUGCGUCAGUGUAGCCUUCCCGACAUGGUCGGAUAGCAGAGAGAUAGUCACCUUAAAUUGUGACGUUAACAUCCAAUCCACACCUCGGAAACUCGUCAAAACGAAUCCUGCUGCAUCUUCAGGCCCCGAACAGACCGCUCCACAAGAUUGCAAGACGGGUAUAGAUAUGGAUAAACACCUCCAUAGAAUUGGAGGGAGAUCACUCCUUAAAAAGGAGGUAAAUGAUGAUAAUGAUGGUCCCGGUGAGCCCACCGGUAAAUGAAAAGUUAUGAAAUGAUCCAGUGAGUGCAAAUUCGUUUCCGUAAAAACCUUGGUGAACCCACCAAAAAUUUCCAGAAAAAUGGCCAAAUAGACCAAGAUCCCCCACUUCUUAGUGGGCUGUGAAACUGGACUGAGAAUGUUACAAUUAAAAACUGAUGGGCUUAUGAAACCCAUAACCAACCUUUGUUGGCCCACCUCAGCGUAGAGGAACAGACGAACGGCGAUGUGAGAGCAACGAUGUGCGGAUGGCCGAGCUGAGUCCAGGGAAGGGAGGAGCGCCGGUUCCGUCCUCCUGUCCGGUGGAUACGGGGUCAAGAACCGUGGAAGAGGUCAUCUAGGGUUAAAGCUUUCACCACGGGACUGCUUCAACGAAAGACUAUGGCUUGCGAUACGUGGAGUUGGUGGCAGAUCUGACCGGUAAAAACCAGAUCCGUAGCGACGAACGAUUCUCUCCCCAAAAUGGGGUUGAUAAUCGCCGGUGGGAAACUUGGCGUUAGUGGUAGGAGGAUAUGUUGAGACACGGCGUUUGCGAAAGAUGAAGGAUGCGGUGGAAGAGGAUGACAGGGGAACCCCCCAAGAACGGUCGGAUCUGGUGACACCAAACCCGUAAAAGAGCAGCCAAACGCUGUAACUUUCGACGAUAACCAUUCUCCAAGAAGAAACGUUGACAGAAGUUACGGCGGUGGCCAAAGAGACGACAAACACAGAGGAAACGUAGAAGAAACGAGGAGUAGAACAACCAAGAGUGAGGGAGGCUCGACGCCGGCGGUUUGAGAUCCCACCAGCGUCAAGAAACGAUGAUUUCAGAGUUGUCUCGAUUCUCGUGUCAGAGAGGACUAGGGCAAACUCUGUUAUUGUAUAUAUAGUCGAACAGACUCUCUAAUACACAUUUGUUGUGUCAUAAUUUCGGUCAGCUUUGUCUUCGAAAAUAUCGUUAUUUCGCCGGCUUUGCUUCCUGUUUUGAGAUUCUGUAAAAUCAUCCAUUUAAAUAGCACUAAUAGUCUAUAUGUAUUUGUUUUUGUAACAUUAUUAUAUGUAUUGCAUGCAUGCAAAUGAUAAUACAUUAACGUAACAACUUCAGUUACUGUUCAUUCCUUAUGUACUAGGCAUAUAAUAAUCUUUUAUUUAGUUUAUGUAGAAAUGAUUUUUUAUGUAAUUCAUUCCAAAAUCAUUUCGUAAGAUCUAUCUUAAUAAUAGAUUUUACUAUUUUAUUAUAAUAAAUAUAAGAAGUACUUAACAUGUUACCAAAAAAAAAAAGUACAAAUAAAAAUUUCAAGUAUAAUGCAAAAAUAAAAAGUAGGUUAGAAUAAUUUUCAAAAAAUUAUAUAUGAAAGCAUGAAAAUAAGCAUUUGCAGAACCACUGUAGCUUUUAUAUGAUUUCUUAAGAAAAUAUCAACGAAAUUGAUUUACUUAAUCCCCUAGGUGGAAGGGUGUGACACCCGUCACCUCCAAUCCGGAGAACCACGGGCCACCAACAAUAUCUCGUAUAAUAAAAGCUCAUAUACCCAAUUACACUCACCCAAAACCCAAAUAAAAAUCCGAAUAAAAAGUCCAGUAGCACCAAUCCGUCCAAAUAUCAUAUACUCAUCUGUCUCACCUGAAAUGGGGAAGAAGAGGGAUGAGUAACGGAGAAGUCACUCAAUGAGGUAUGGGAUACUAAACCCGAAGUCCAUGGACCCGGACAGAGCACUCCGAAUAAAUAUAAUUUAAUCCGAACACGUUGCAAACACGGUACCUAAAGUACCCAGAGAUCAAACAAACUGCCCACUAACAGACCAAAAACACCACCGAAUAUAUGCUCGGUAACACACGCCCAUAGACGAUUUAUCGACCUCCACGCCUUGGCACAACAUGUCGACUACGCUGUGCCGCGGCAAACACCACACCCAAUGUACUGUCUCCGGACGAUACACCCAUGGUCGGCUAUCAUCCAAAUCACAUCAAUAUACUAUAUAUAUAUAUAUAUAUUAUCGAUUAUAAAUGAACAAGUAUUGUUGAACCAUCUAACACCCUAGUUCCGAUUAAGCAAAGAACCUAAAACUAAGCAAACAAUGACAGACUCGAUUUCACAUAGACAGAACACAUUAGAAAUAAAUUAUACUUAUUCGAGGUCCUAAGCCGUGUAAGAGAAGUUCGGGAAAAGACCGUCACCUUUGCCAUAUCGGAGAAACCAAAAAGGAUCUGAAAACAACAGAGUCUCGGCCACAUCUUGGCACAACAAUAAAUCAAUGGAGGUCCACCAUACCCCAUGUUCUAAAACGCGGCCGGAGCGGCCGAUUCCACGCCGGUAAAGCGCUCGGCGGAGCUCCGCCGCCGCGAUUCUAUUAUAAUCGGCCAGAAACUUGCUUCCAAAAAAAACAUAUAUAUUACAAUGAUUUUGAGUCCAAAAACGCUAGUUACAACAUAUAUCUCGAUGGUAACAACAAAGAAACGAUGUGGAAUCAAAGCAAAUCGCCCAAAAAAAAGUGAUUUUUGCCUGAAAACAGGUAAAAUAGCUGCAAAAUAGGUUAGUGGAGAGAGGAAUGUCGUGAAAGAAGAAGACAUUAAAACUACAAUAUUGCCCUCCACUUAAAAAAGGGUAAAAACAACAAAAGAUUCAUAUAUGGUCCUUCGACCUCGGGUCCAGAUGCUUUAAUAAGCUCACCCAACCGCUAGACCAUGGCUCUUCAACAGAAACUGUCGCUAUGAAUAACAUUUAAACGUAUCUUAUAUAAAAUAAUUGUAACUUUUUUAAAUUAUUAAAAAAAUUACGCCCCGAUUACUCCCCGAUUUUUUUCCGCUUUUCUAAUAACUCGCUAGGCCCGGGUGAGCCGCACGCGUUACGCCUAGCGAGUUUUCUAACAUGGACCAUACCUCUCGGAUAAAUAUAAAAGUGAAAAUAAUUAGGCUUGCAAAACUUGCUGCGCAAGAAACAAAAAGGGCAAGGCGCUUGAACCUUCACUUCACGGAUUGACUCGCGACGGCGGAUCUCUUGACUCCUGCGAUAGGAGCUAUGUUCAUGUCUCUUCUCACGGUCUACACCUCUUGGUUCUGAUGCGUGACGACCUCAAGGAAAAGGCUACGGAUCUUUGACAGCGGCGUCGAUGCAUCACAGCUCCUUGACAUAGCUCCAUGGCUGGUGUGAUGAGGUUUCCCUUGAGAUGAUCGUGCAUCACUGGUGGUAUCUCUCUCCAACGUCAUGGCGGCUCUCAACAGAAGAAGAACAUCACUUUAAUUAUAUAAUUAGGUAUGAGCCACACGACACACGGUUAAGAGACAAAGGAAGGCUUUGGUUUAAUAAAAAUAAUUGAUAAGUGGAACAAACCAGACCGGUUAAGAUCAACAAAAGAAUUUAAGCAAUUAAAAUUCGGUUCAAGGUAACCGGGUCGUUACAAAGGGUUUAAAAGAAGGCUCCUUCCUCAUCUUCCUCCCUCUCUUUUCUCGUUACUACUCUCUUCUUUACAAAUCAUAACAGAAAGAGAGAAAUCGAGAAGUUGAGUAAGUUUGGGGGUAUUUUGUUUAAGGAACAGAGCAAUCGAGAGAGGAGAUCGAGUCAAGUUUGGGAGAUGGAAGAAGUUGAAGAAGUGGAGGUUGAUGGAGCGGAUGACAACAACGAAGGUUUAGGUCCUUUGGAGAUUAUUCGUAACUUCGUUUUAGUCAAGAGGAUUGAUCUUACGUGGAUGACCCAGAGGAGAAAUCUAUUCCAGAGGUAAUUGAAAGCUAUAUGAUAAUCCGAAAAUAGAACUAUAUACUACGACUAUAUUUCUGAGAAGUUGGGACAUACUUGCUUUGACGUGACAUGACAUGAUUUUAUAUAGCUUAUUCAGUAAAUGUAACCAAAUGAUCACAAAGCAUUAUAGUCAUGUCUAAAAAUGUUAUGUCACGACUUUACAUAUAUUUACAGAAAUUAUCACAAAAGCAAUUAACGCUGACCAAGAAUAGUUAUUUCUUAAACUAAAGAUAAUUUCCACCAAAUAUGAAGCGUGAUUUCAAAUUAAUCUCAGACCAAUGAGCCAUUAAAAAUAUAUAUACAUGUGUUAGACAAAACAUAAUUCAAAUUAAAACACUAUACCUAGUUUCAAAUUAAUCUCAGACCAAUGAUCCAUAAAAAAUAUAUAUACCAAAACUCGAAACGUGAACACUGUACGUACCAAGGAUUAAUUUUUAUCAAAAGGAUUUGUGUUUGAAAUUCUUAUGUCUCUAAUCUUUCUCUUUGUUCUUUGUUCUUACAUCAGAAGUUCACGAAUAUCAAUUCGGUUUGGCCCCUUCUUAAUAUCUCCAACUUUAUUUAAUGCGUCAGAUGUUUCUUGUAUUUUCAGUAAAAAAUAUAUGUAUUCAACUUAAUUUCUUCGCAACUUGCGGGCUCUUAUAUUCAAGAAAAGAAGACCAUCAAGCUUUUGAGUUAUUAUUUCCAUAUUAUCUCCAGACUGCAUUUCUCUUAGACAUGCAUUUACAUAUAUAUACUUCUUUUAUUAUUUUUGAGGGUUCAUAUUUUCUGUUUUCAAUUAAUAUAUAAAUUAUAAGCCAUUGCAGAGGAAUGGUUCAUAUUGUUAACAUAUAGCAGGGAACCAAGACGAAUACUCUUUGAGGAUUCGUAUUAUUGUGGAUAUCUUAUAAAGAAAUCUUAAAAAGAAUAUACAUUAUAAAUAUUAUGUUAGGUUCUUAAAAUCAUGGAAAACCAAAUUUUAGACAAAAUUAGAAUUUUGGGGUUGGGUUUUCCGUGAUCUUAAGAUUUUCAUAUUAGAUAUUAAUAUUUGUGUAUACAUACACUUUAAUUUUGAGCUAAGAACCAUAUGCUAAAAUAUUUUCAUUGGAGGUGUUCUCACGGCUAACAACACUAAAUAAAAGAAAUUGUUACUCGGCCUUUACAAAAGUAAAUAAAAAGAAAUACUUAUUUAGAUCAGGAUUAUCGAGGGGAUAUUAGAGGGUUUUUAGUGGUAUAGGUCUUACUUUUUUGUAAAAAUCGGUCACACAAAUCACACAAUGAGGAUUGAUCUUUCUUCAAUUAUUGCACUAUUCGCGGAUCCCACUGACACUUGACGGUCUGCGAUUGGUGCGCCGUUUAAAUUAUUUUUUUUUAAUCAGAAAAAAAAAUACUUAUCUAUGAAACCGUGCAUGCCUUAAUCAUGCUCUUACGGUUCACCUUCUGGCUCAGAAGUCAGAACAAGUCUCUUCCUUCUCUCAAGUCUUAACAGUUGACCCUCUCGCUUAGGAGUCUUUUUGAUUUUAUCGUUCGACUAUUAUACCAAGUAGAGCGACUGGUUCAACUUGAUUUCAUCAAGCCGGGAACUGUUGGAUUACACACCAAACUCCACCUUAGUCGACGUUGUUCUUUGCCUGUGGAAAGUAGCUUUGAGAGUCUAUCCACGCCUUCGUGUUUACCUUUCAAGUGAUAAAGACGAGGACACAGCUC